AAAAAGUUGAGGCGGGCUGGAUCUCUCGGGGUUACAGCCUUGCUGAAUUAUUCACCCUUGUCUUUUGCGUACUUCUUGUUUCCUUGGUGGGUUCGCCCACCACUAGGACAAACAUAAACCUUUUGUAAUUGCAAUCAGCGUCAGUAACAAAUUAAUAAUUACAACUUUCAACAACGGAUCUCUUGGUUCUGGCAUCGAUGAAGAACGCAGCGAAAUGCGAUAAGUAGUGUGAAUUGCAGAAUUCAGUGAAUCAUCGAAUCUUUGAACGCACAUUGCGCCCUUUGGUAUUCCAAAGGGCAUGCCUGUUCGAGCGUCAUUUGUACCCUCAAGCUUUGCUUGGUGUUGGGCGUCUUGUCUCUAGCUUUGCUGGAGACUCGCCUUAAAGUAAUUGGCAGCCGGCCUACUGGUUUCGGAGCGCAGCACAAGUCGCACUCUCUAUCAGCAAAGGUCUAGCAUCCAUUAAGCCUUUUUUCAACUUUUGACCUCGGAUCAGGUAGGGAUACCCGCUGAACUUAAGCAUAUCAUGGCGGGGAGGAA
rnacentral:rRNA from 1 species